rnacentral:rRNA from 1 species
AUAACCCCGGAAAACUGGGGAUAAUACCCCAUAGACUACAGAAGCUGGAAUGCUCUGUAAUCGAAAGGUCCGCCGCCCCAGAUGGGUCUGCGGCUGAUUAGGUUGUUGUUGGGGUAACGGCCCAACAAGCCUGUAAUCAGUACGGGUUGUGGGAGCAAGAACCCGGAGAUGGAUUCUGAGACACGAAUCCAGGCCCUACGGGGCGCAGCAGGCGCGAAAACUUUACAAUGCGAGAAAUCGUGAUAAGGGAACCCCGAGUGCCCGUAAAUUCGGGCUGUUAAUCUGUGUAAAAAGCAGGUGGAGAAAGGGCCGGGCAAGACCGGUGCCAGCCGCCGCGGUAAUACCGGCGGCUCGAGUGGUGGCCACUAUUACUGGGCUUAAAGCGUCCGUAGCUGGAUUGUUAAGUCUCUUGGGAAAUCUACCGGCUUAACCGAUAGGCGUUCAAGGGAUACUGGCAAUCUAGGGACCGGGAGAGGUGAGAGGUACUCCAGGGGUAGGAGUGAAAUCCUGUAAUCCUUGGGGGACCACCUGUGGCGAAGGCGUCUCACCAGAACGGCUCCGACAGUGAGGGACGAAAGCUGGGGGAGCAAACCGGAUUAGAUACCCGGGUAGUCCCAGCUGUAAACGAUGUGCGUUAGGUGUAUCGGUGACCACGAGUCACCGAGGUGCCGAAGAGAAAUCGUGAAACGUACCGCCUGGGAAGU